rnacentral:rRNA from 1 species
UGAGGAACAUGACUUUCGGCGGGGGAUAGCCGGCCCAACGGCCGGGUAAUACCGCGUACGACCUUUUGGGGACAUCCCCGAUUGGUGAAAGCAGCAAUGCGCCGAAAGAGUGCCUCGCGGCCUAUCAGCUAGUUGGUGGGGUAAUGGCUCACCAAGGCGACGACGGGUAGCUGGUCCGAGAGGAUGACCAGCCACAUUGGGACUGAGACACGGCCCAGACUCCUACGGGAGCAG